UACAGAGGUCUCGAGCGUUGUUCGGAUUCAUUGGGCGUAAAGGGUGCGUAGGUGGCGCUGUAAGUCGGGUGUGAAAUCCUGAGGCUUAACCUCGGAACUGCAUUCGAUACUGCGGCGCUUGAGGACUGGAGAGGAGACUGGAAUUCAUGGUGUAGCAGUGAAAAUGCGCAGAUAUCGGGAGGAACACCUAUGGCGAAGGCAGCUUGCUGGGACGGUACUGACGCUGAGACGCGAAAGCGUGGGGAGCAAACAGG
rnacentral:rRNA from 1 species